rnacentral:rRNA from 1 species
GACGAACGCUGGCGGCGUGCCUAAUACAUGCAAGUUGAGCGCUGAAGGUUGGUACUUGUACCAACUGGAUGAGCAGCGAACGGGUGAGUAACGCGUGGGGAAUCUGCCUUUGAGCGGGGGACAACAUUUGGAAAGGAAUGCUAAUACCGCAUAAAAACUUUAAACACAAGGUUUAAGGUUGAAAGAUGCAAUUGCAUCACUCAAAGAUGAUCCCGCGUUGUAUUAGCUAGUUGGUGAGGUAAAGGCGCACCAAGGCGAGGAUACAUAGCCGACCUGAGAGGGUGAUCGGCCACAUUGGGACGGUGACACGGCCCAAACGCCUACGGGAGGCAGCAGUAGGGAAUCGUCGGCAAUGGAUGAAAGUCUGACCGAGCAACGCCGCGGGAGUGAAGAAGGUCGUCGGAUCGUAAAACUCUGUUUGUAGAUAAGAACGUGGGUGAGAGUGGAAAGCUCAUCAAGUGACGGUAAUGACUCAGAAAGGGACGGCUAACUACGUG